GACGAACGCUGGCGGCGUGCUUAACACAUGCAAGUCGAACGAAAACGCCCUGCUUUUGUGGGGUGCUCUACUGGCCAACGGGUGAUUAACACGUGAGUAACCUGCCCUUGACUUUGGGAUAACUUCAGGAAACUGGAGCUAAUACCAGAUAGGAGUUCCUGCUGCAUGGUGGGGGUUGGAAAGAUUCCGCGGUUGGGGAUGGACUCCCCGCUUAUCAGAUUGUUGGUGGGGGAGUGGCUUACCAUAAGCUUUCACGGGGAGCCUGACUGACAGGGUGAACGGCCACAUUGGGACUGAGAUACGGCCCAUACUCCUACGGGAAGCACCAGAGGGGAAUAUUGCACAAUGGGCAAAAGCCUGAUGCAGCAACACCGCUUGCUGAAUGACGGUCUUCUGAUUGUAAACCGCUUUCUCCUGUGACGAAACGUGAGUGACGGUAAUGGGUAAAGAAGCAACGGCUAACUACUUGCCAGCAACCACUGUGAUACAUACGGUGCGAGCGUUGUCCGGAUUUAUUGGGCGAAAAGGGCUAGUACGUGGUUGAUCGCGUCUGAAGUGUAAUCUUGUGGCUUAACCCUGGAACUGCCUUUCAAACUGCAUCGCUUGAAUCAUGGAGAGGUUAAUGGAAUUCCCAGUGUAAAGGUGAAAUUCCUAAAUAUUCAGAAGAACACCCGUGGCGAAAGCGACUAACUGGACAUGUAUUGACCCUGAAGUGCCAAAGCGUGGGGAGCAAACAGGAUUAAAUACCCUGGUAAUCCACGCCUUAAACGGUGGGUACUAGGUGUGGGGUCCAUUCCACGGGUUCCGUGCCGUAGCUAACGCUUUAAGUACCCUGCCUGGGGAGUACGGCCGCAAGGUUAAAACUCAAAGGAAUUGUCGGGGCCCCGCACAACCGGCGGAGCAUCCGGAUUAAUUUGAUGCAACGCGUAGAACCUCACUUGGGUUUGACAUGGAUCGGGAGUGCUCAGAGAUGGCUGUGCCUCUUCUGGGGUCGGUUCACAGGCGGUGCAUGCCUGUCGUCAGUUAGUGUCGUGAGAUGUAGGGUUAAGUCCCGCAACGAGCGCAACCAUUGUUCAUUGUUGCCAGCACGCUAUGGUGGGGACUCAGUGGAGACCGCCGGGGUCAACUCGGAGGAAGGUGGGGAUGACGUCAAGUCUUCAUGCCCCCUAUGUGCAGGGGUUCACGCAUGUUACAAUGGCUGGUACACAGAGUGCCGAGCCUGCGAGGGUGAGAGAAUCUCGGAAAGCCGGUUUCAGUUUGGAUUGGGGUUUGCAACUCGACCUCCUGAAGUGGGAGUCGCUAGUAAUUGCAGAUCAGCCACGCCGCGGUGAAUACGUUCCCGGGGCU
rnacentral:rRNA from 1 species